ACAUAUUAUUUGGCUGGUCGUGUUAAAAACCGAACCGACAUUUUCGGCAAGCCACGCGCUUCUUCUUCCGUGCCGGAAUAAUCCGCGAGCUUCUUCUUCUUCGUGGCUUAUUGCUGCAUUGCGUAAUCGUUACCUAUACCGUAAGGGUGUUGUGUGCAAUUGCAUCGUGUUUUUUUGGUUUGAGUUAAGUUUGUCGAAAAAAAAGAUGGAGACGUCCAUCAGUCGAAUCUAUUCGGAAUUCUCGUUUCAUUUCGUCAGUGUUUAUCAACGAGUUGUCCAGUUUUACGGAUGGUGCAUGAGCCGGGCAGAUCCACGAGUAGCCAAAUGGCCGCUGAUGGCGUCUCCUGUUCCGACAUUGCUCAUCGCCAUGGCCUACCUCACGUCCAUCUAUUACGGAAGGCGGUUCAUGGCCAAAAGGAAACCGUUUUCCAUACGUGGUAUCCUGAUACCUUAUAAUCUGGCCAUGGCGCUACUUAAUCUCUACAUCGGACUUGAGCUGGCUGUGACGCAACAUCGCAAGCAAUACAAUUGGCUCUGUCAACCCGUCAAUUACUCUGAGGAUCCCGAUGAAAUUAGGAUCGCUUCGGCAUUAUGGUUUUACUACGUCUCUCGCCUGGUUGAAAUGCUGGACACCAUCUUUCUGGUGAUGCGAAAAAAGUGGCAGCAAUUGACUUUUCUGCACGUGUACCACCACUCGACAAUGUUUAUGCUCUGGUGGAUUGGUGUGAAAUGGGUUCCCGGCGGAUCAGCGUUCUUUGCAGCCAUGGUCAACAGUAUUAUUCACGUUGCCAUGUACCUGUAUUAUGCCUUGGCUGCUUGUGGUCCCAAGGUCCAAAAAUAUCUCUGCUGGAAAAAAUACCUCACUAUUCUCCAAAUGGCACAAUUUGUCUCAGCGUUGGUUCUGGGUGUGAGAGCCCUGAUUUACGGCUGUGACUUUCCCCUCUGGAUGCAGUAUGCCUUGGUGGUGUACAUGUCAUCAUUCCUCUUCCUUUUUGGCCAAUACUACAGAAAUGCUUAUCUUCUAAAGAAACAGGUUUGUUGGUGUGAGAUGUUUCAGGAUGUUCUCGGGCGACGCCAGUGACCGUCUGAUUGGACGGCAGACAAAUCACCUUCAGAGAAAUCUUGUUCGGCCCCAUGAAAUCCCGUUAACAGUAACAAAAAAGUGUAAUAUUUAACGAAUUCAUUUCACUUUAAAUAAUAAUGAGCCUUACUUUUUUUCUCAAUAUUUUAAAGCGCCUUAGAACAGUAAUCUAAUCAGAAUUACACAAUUUAUCUCGCUUCAACAUUCCAAUAAAUUAAGUAUACACACAUUUAUCUAACCCCAUUUUUUGUAUAAGAAGUAUCAAUUCAAAUUAAAUUGGCGCUCAGAAAACGAUCCAUAUUAAUUUCUUGACAGGAAAACGGCUAAUGGUCCAGGCUUGCAGAUGUAAGGCUUGUUGGUUGCACACAUUUGCCACUUACAGUUAACCCCCUCCACCACCUUGACCGUUGUUGCCUGGUGGUCCUGUUGGCCCUGUCGGUCCUAUUGAACAAAUUAAUAUGUUAUUUUAUGGAUUUAUCCUGUUGAUUUCUUGGGUAAAAGAGUGAGAUUUCAUUCAAACCUAUAGGUCCUGGAGGUCCUGGAGGUCCCGUCGCGCCAGGUGGACCAUUUGGGCCGACAGGACCGGUUGCGCCAGGAGGACCCACUGGACCGUCGGCACCUAAAUCAAACAUGCACGAAUUUUAACAAACCAAUCCAAGAAAUAGGAAAACAAAAUUGAUCGCUUGCCUGUGGGGCCUGUCGGGCCAGUAGCUCCAGUAGCUCCUAACACACAACAAUUGAAAUCAAUGCUUUAUUCGAUUCACCGAGGAAAGAAAAAUGUAGUAGUUGAUUGAUUACCAGUCGGCCCAGUAGCGCCCGUAGCUCCUGUAGCUCCUGUAGCUCCCGUAAGACCUUUUAGGGUGUCAACAAAGUCAGGUGUUACAAAAUUUUAUUUUUCAAUAAGCUUUCAACUUGUCAGACCUGUAGAUCCUGUUGGGCCAGUGGGACCGGGCGGACCUUGAUAUAAAAAGACGAGAAAAUCAAAGGUAAAGUAAAACAGUUAGCCAAACAAAACAAUUAAAUGCAUACCUGGUGGACAAUUACAAAGGUUGGAUAAUACAUUCAAUUUCAAUCCAAUCCAAUACCAUAACCAAUUAGAUCCAAAAAUCCUUGGCCCCCAUCCUGAUAUGUUAUCAUCUUUUUCUUCAAGGGAUUGCUGCUGAUCAAGAGGACCUGAACAAGUUUGUGCGAUAAAAAUGUUCAAAUGACAACGCCCAUUUUAUGUAAAAACAGAGCGGCAAGUUACUGGGCGGUCCUCUGGGCAGUGAUCGUACUUCUCGAUGUCGAAAAUCUUCCCUGGCCAUUUGAUUUAGCUCCUGACCUUGUUCGGCCUUUUUCAGUAAACGUUGGACCACGUCAUCGUCUUGCUGAUUUAAUUCAGCAGGUUGUGAAAGAUUCAAAUCGGAUGAAUGUACCGGGGAGUCCAAUGGGGUCCUAUGAGGGGCAGAUUUCAAACCUUACCUGGUUGGCUAUUCUUCCGAGUGUUAUCUUCGGCUGUCAUGUAAUUCAACAGAGAAGCCAAAUUGUACAAGGACAGUUCAGCAGCGCAGGAUAGAAAAUCUUGGCAGGUGGAUGGCAGCAAUCUGUGUUCAUCAGGAACAUCAUGGGACCCAUCAUCUCCGCCGAUGACAGGUAUUACAAAACAGACGACCAAGCAGGACCACUUACAAUAAGAGAUGAGUAAAGAAGGCAACAUGUUCGUGUGCUGCUUCCUCCCUUCACCAAAUCUAUAUUAUAGCCGGCGAUCGAAUGGCAGGUUUUUACGAAAUGUAGUGCACCUCUUUAUAUACUCGGCGUCAAUCGGUUUCCGGGUGGGCGUCGAUUUUGAACAACAGACAGUUUGAGUUCUUUGACCAAACGGGGCAGUCCCAAUCAGCAAUAGAAUAAAGGGUCUCGACACGUCCCGCUGAUCUGAUUUACUACUACAGCCUAUACCAGAAAUUACAUAUUGUUUCCAACGUCUGACUAAAAAGGUAA